GACGAACGCUGGCGGCGUGCUUAACACAUGCAAGUCGAACGGUAAGGCUCCAGCUUGCUGGGGUACACGAGUGGCGAACGGGUGAGUAACACGUGGGUGACCUGCCCUGCACUUCGGGAUAAGCCUGGGAAACUGGGUCUAAUACCGGAUAGGACCAUGGUGUGGAUACUGUGGUGGAAAGUUUUUUCGGUGUGGGAUGGGCCCGCGGCCUAUCAGCUUGUUGGUGGGGUAAUGGCCUACCAAGGCGGCGACGGGUAGCCGGCCUGAGAGGGUGGACGGCCACAUUGGGACUGAGACACGGCCCAGACUCCUACGGGAGGCAGCAGUGGGGAAUAUUGCACAAUGGGCGGAAGCCUGAUGCAGCGACGCCGCGUGGGGGAUGACGGCCUUCGGGUUGUAAACUGCUUUCGCCAGCGACGAAGGGUUUCUGACGGUAGAUGGAGAAGAAGCACCGGCUAACUACGUG
rnacentral:rRNA from 1 species